rnacentral:rRNA from 1 species
AAAUUGAAGAGUUUGAUCAUGGCUCAGAUUGAACGCUGGCGGCAGGCCUAACACAUGCAAGUCGAACGGUAACAGGAAGCAGCUUGCUGCUUUGCUGACGAGUGGCGGACGGGUGAGUAAUGUCUGGGAAACUGCCCGAUGGAGGGGGAUAACUACUGGAAACGGUAGCUAAUACCGCAUAACGUCGCAAGACCAAAGAGGGGGACCUUAGGGCCUCUUGCCAUCGGAUGUGCCCAGAUGGGAUUAGCUAGUAGGUGGGGUAAUGGCUCACCUAGGCGACGAUCCCUAGCUGGUCUGAGAGGAUGACCAGCCACACUGGAACUGAGACACGGUCCAGACUCCUACGGGAGGCAGCAGUG